CCUACUGGCGGCAGCAGUGAGGAAUAUUGGUCAAUGGUCGGGAGACUGAACCAGCCAAGCCGCGUGAGGGAUGAAGGUACAGAGUAUCGUAAACCUCUUUUGUCAGGGAACAAAGGCGGGGACGUGUCCCCGGCUGCGUGUACCUUACGAAAAAGCAUCGGCUAACUCCGUGCCAGCCGCCGCGGUAAUACGGAGGAUGCGAGCGUUAUCCGGAUUUAUUGGGUUUAAAGGGUGCGCCGGCGGUCUGUUAAGUCAGCGGUCAAAGCCCGGGGCUCAACCCCGGCCCGCCGUUGAAACUGGCAGUCUCGAGUGGGAGAGAAGUAUGCGGAAUGCGCGGUGUAGCGGGGAAAUGCAUAGAUAUCGCACAGAACUCCGAGUGCGAAGGCAGCAUGCCGGCUCCAAACUGACGCUGAGGCACGAAAGCGUGGGUAUCGAACAGGAUUAGAGACCCUGGUAGUC
rnacentral:rRNA from 1 species